rnacentral:lncRNA from 1 species
CGGUAUCCGCGCGGGAAACACCAUGAAUUAAACAGUCACGAAAAAAAAAUUAAAAUUCUAUAUAACCCCUGUUCUGACUCUUUAAUAGUGUGUCAGUGAUAUUAUUUUGGAUUUUCUGGACAGAAACAGGAGUUUCGCUUCUAAUUUUCUGUUGUCUGAGAAUGCUCCUGUGCCGAGUGACCAGUGCGGGGUGAGGUGAGGGGGAGAGAUGACCGCCCCCGAGCCUUCAGUGCUCCAAGCGCUGCAGGGGUACACACAGCUUAGCGACAAGUGGCCUGGACCUCGUGCAGUCAAGAUAUUUGUCGCCUCCGUCUACAAUGACUUCCGCGAGGAGAGACGGCAGAUACUUGAAAUGGUGGGGCCGGAGCUGCAAUCCAC